AAUAUACGUCGAGGCAACGCACAGAGACACACAUUCACCGCGAUUGCACACAAGUAAAAGGAGAGAAAUGAGAGGGAAGGGGAAACGUUUGGUGCAAGAAAAACUAUGGAGGAUCACGACACACACAAGAAUGACUUAGGAAAAAAAACGGGUCUUCGUUGGAGCGGGACCGCGGCUGUUUCAACAUCCACUGAGAUACGGAGCGCGCACAGUACACAAGUCUACACACACAGCCGACGAGUGAGAGAAAGAGAGGGGGAAGGGGCCAGCGUCCCGUCCGAAACAGCAUUGCCAGAUUUUAUUAUACUUAUUAUACCUUACUUCUUUAUUUCGUGUAAUUUUUUUUUUCUUUUAUUUCCCAUCCCUUUUUCCUUUUGUUCUGUUUUAGCUUUUUCAAGAAAAAAAUAGAAAACUAUAUGACAACA